ensembl:lncRNA
CAUAUAAGUAGUUAUUAAUGUUUUGCAUUUCUUUUUUGAAGAUGACAAGUAAAGUGAUAGCAAGUUAACUCAUCAUUUCAUAUAGAAUACGCUUUCGUUAUUUAUACAACAUAACGUUAAUAUUAUGACUUAGGCUAUCUGCAAAAAGGUCCUGAAGGCACAUGAACAUAUCUGCCCAGCUCUGAAUGUACUCCUUUUGUGGACGCGUUCUUCACGCAACAACAUGCAGAAACACGGCAGCUAAAAUCUAAAAAUUCACAGCAUUUUAUUAUAAAGGUGUUUGCAUUAUUAUGGUAUGUGUAUGACAGUCCCAGUCAUAGUUAUUAAUAUUCUGCAUUGUUUUCUGUCCUGCUCGCGCUGCGCGCUGAAGAGAUAAUCACCGUAGUUCUACAAUGAAACGCUUGACUCAACCAAAUGCAUCUUAUAUCAGGAGAAAAGGGAAUAACAGCCACCGAUCCUGAACCAAAUGGCCCUACAGAUACCCCUCUUACCACAUCCACUGACAAAGAGGACAGCGAUACUACACUCAGUUGUGAUGAGCAGAUUGGAGAAAUCAGUGGAAGGCUGGCCAUUCCUGGGGCUCAAGCUUGGAAGCACCUAGGAAGGAAGCGUAAGGCCAAAGAUUGUCAGGCUGCUAGUGGGCUGCAGACUUAUAUGGCUCAGCAAAGCAAGCAGCUACAGGACAUGUAUGAAGCUGAGCAAAAACACCCAGCACAGGACAACACAGUCCUUAAGAAACUGCUGAAGGUACAUCAGGAGGCAGAGGAAAGGAGAUUUCAAGCUAUCCAAGCUCAGCAGGAGGCAAAUCGUCAUGUUUACACACCUAGUGGCUACUCUUGCUAAUGCGUUGUCUUCUGGUCAGUCACAGCACCCACCCUCGCAGCCCCCAACCCACUUGAUUCCACCAGCUCCAAUGAGUUCAACCCCUGCCAGUACCUGGUCCAUUCCUCAGCCACCCAGGGCCAAACCACAGCAGCCCAUGGCCCUGCAGCUCAUGCAACCAUAUAUAGUCAGACCAGGUGAAGAGGCUGCAAAUGUUUCAUCUAUUGAAUCACAUGGCAACCUGCCUACAGUAUG